AGCCUACUAGCUCAAUUGGUAGAGCAUUGUGAAAUACACAAACAAUGUGGGUUCAAAUCCCACUAGGCUC
rfam:Beta vulgaris subsp. vulgaris Bvchr5_un.sca017.con0030.1, whole genome shotgun sequence.